AAAACCACUAGAGGAAACGCAAAAAAGGUAACAAGAUUACAUAACCAAAGGCGAGAAGGCACUGAACGAAGUGUCACGAAUAUUUUUGUUAUAAAAUACGCAGUAAUACAAUCAUGUCAAACAAGUAACGUAGUUGUGUGAUGUCUGCGGCCUUCAUCCUAUUCAUAGCUAUAUGCCUGACGUGUGUCGAAUUGCUUCCGCUCAACGCCCUUCAAGUUCAGGACGGCCGUGAGGCGUUGGGAGCGCAGUCCCUCUAUUGAUGAUAUUGAUGAGCCAUAAGACAGUAGGUAAUACCUUGUUGCAGCCAGGUACACCUUGAUAGUUGCUGCUGACACGGUCUGCGACAGUGAUGUAAUGAACCGGACAAUGUCUCCAUUACUGGUGUACUACAGUACUAGCUGUGCUAGUGUAGCGUGCGUGGUCUAAGGCUAGGAGGCUACUACCCACAGUCAGUCAACUAACGUAUCAGAACUUACUCCGGCACGGCCUGGAGGUUAUCUUAUAUCAAUCGGGGCAAGAAUAAUCAACUACUCUCGACACCGUACCAAGGUGAUCCGAUGGGAACGGGCGGGUUUACUGUCCACACCUGCACAGUGUAAAAAUCCUGUUCCUACGAACCAUUACCUCAUCAGGAACGUGUUGCGCUCAAAACGCCAUACCAACCAAAAUUCAUGGGAACAAAUCUCUCGCCGAAUGGCUCGAGCUGGUCCUAGGAUGUCGAAAUGUUAAACAUCAACACUUCUGCGGAGGCCUUGUUCAAGCCAGAAGCGCACUUCAUUAUUAAAACCUUGAGCAACGAGGAGUUUCAACUCGACAGUGGAGUCCAAGAGGGAAUACUGCUAACCGUAAGCAGUGAUUCCACUGACCAAGGAAAUAUACUCAUCAUGAUGACCAGCGCCGACGCCAAAGCUAAGGGACUCAUUACCUCAUUCAAAUGGGGAAACGUUUCGGGUGAAUAGAAUAUCACUUUGUCAUUCUCUGAAAUAUGGGUACAUGUAUGUCCAUGCUUUUUAUAAGCCCUUGGAGGAUGAAGGCAGUUUCCCAAUCAUAAUGAUAAGAUAACGGAACACAGUGUAUAUUACUCGGUUUUAAUCUAGUUGGUGCCUUCAUCCCAUGGCUAAUUUCACUGACUGGUAACAUGUGAACAGGAUGAAUUACUAUUACUAUCAUUGUAAGUAGUUCAAAGCUCUUGCACUCAUUCCAAAAAAAAUAUUUUUCCGCAGUAUUGCCACUGCAUUUCUAAGCUACAGCAGCGUCAUGGAAACGAAAAAUACCUGUGAUGUGACGAUUGUGAAAUGCGGUGUGGUGAGUGAGUGGACGGAG